UACGUAGGCAGCGAGCGUUGUUCGGAGUUACUGGGCGUAAAGGGUGCGUAGGCGGUUGUGUAAGUCAGGAGUGAAAGCCCCAAGCUUAACUUGGGAAGUGCUUUUGAUACUGCAAAGCUUGAAUGUGGGAGAGGAUGGUGGAAUUCCAGGUGUAGUGGUGAAAUACGUAGAUAUCUGGAGGAACUCCGGUGGCGAAGGCGGCCAUCUGGCCCAACAUUGACGCUGAGACCCGAAAGCGUGGGGAUCAAACAGG
rnacentral:rRNA from 1 species